rnacentral:lncRNA from 1 species
UCUUCGUCCUGUGGAAUUUUACAAAAAUUAUUUUCAGUUGAGACCAUCAAAACUAAAUACUUCUGAUAAGUGCCUGUGCUCAUAAAGAUGCCGCUUUCUUUCAUCUUCUCAAAUGAUGAGGCUCUGACUAGAAGAAAUAUGUCAAGUUGCAUGUUAGUUACACCACUCUUUUCAAUAUUGUCAUGGGAAUCUUGAUGGGCAGCCAAAAGAGCUGAAGCAUACCACUGAGGAACCAGAACACCAGAAGGCUUUCAACUUACUAGUUAAAGAGGUAAGCUGUUUGAUUUCACAGUGCUAUUGGUUUUAUUUCAUCUGCUGGAGGCUUUUGCUGGUCUGCCUGUAUAGAUGACUGUGGUAUGAGCGUGAAUGAACCGUACCCUCAGAUCAAUUCCUUAGGUAGUCUGUCAAGGCAUUUCACCUACAUGGAAUGCUGAGCCCACCUGUCAGCAAUGGAUGCUGCAUGGAAGUUGGAUCUAACUCUUUAUCAUGGAGGAGUGGC